CACAUGCAAGUCGAGGGGCAUCGGGAACAUAGCUUGCUUUCUUUGCCGGCGACCGGCGCACGGGUGAGUAACACGUAUCCAACCUGCCCUUUACUCGGGGAUAGCCUUUCGAAAGAAAGAUUAAUACCCGAUAGUAUAAUGAUUCCGCAUGGUUUCAUUAUUAAAGGAUUCCGGUAAAGGAUGGGGAUGCGUUCCAUUAGGUUGUUGGUGAGGUAGCGGCCCACCAAGCCUUCGAUGGAUAGGGGUUCUGAGGGGAAGGUCCCCCACAUUGGAACUGAGACACGGUCCAAACUCCUACGGGAGGCAGCAGUGAGGAAUAUUGGUCAAUGGGCGCUAGCCUGAACCAGCCAAGUAGCGUGAAGGAUGAAGGCUCUAUGGGUCGUAAACUUCUUUUAUAUAAGAAUAAAGUGCAGUAUGUAUACUGUUUUGUAUGUAUUAUAUGAAUAAGGAUCGGCUAACUCCGUGCCAGCAGCCGCGGUAGUACGGAGGAUCCGAGCGUUAUCCGGAUUUAUUGGGUUUAAAGGGAGCGUAGGUGGACUGGUAAGUCAGUUGUGAAAGUUUGCGGCUCAACCGUAAAAUUGCAGUUGAUACUGUCAGUCUUGAGUACAGUAGAGGUGGGCGGAAUUCGUGGUGUAGCGGUGAAAUGCUUAGAUAUCACGAAGAACUCCGAUUGCGAAGGCAGCUCACUGGACUGCAACUGACACUGAUGCUCGAAAGUGUGGGUAUCAAACAGGAUUAGAUACCCUGGUAGUCCACACAGUAAACGAUGAAUACUCGCUGUUUGCGAUAUACAGUAAGCGGCCAAGCGAAAGCAUUAAGUAUUCCACCUGGGGAGUACGCCGGCAACGGUGAAACUCAAAGGGAUUGACGGGGGCCCGCACAAGCGGAGGAACAUGUGGUUUAAUUCGAUGAUACGCGAGGAACCUUACCCGGGCUUAAAUUGCAGUGGAAUGAUGUGGAAACAUGUCAGUGAGCAAUCACCGCUGUGAAGGUGCUGCAUGGUUGUCGUCAGCUCGUGCCGUGAGGUGUCGGCUUAAGUGCCAUAACGAGCGCAACCCUUAUCUUCAGUUACUAACAGGUCAUGCUGAGGACUCUGGAGAGACUGCCGUCGUAAGAUGUGAGGAAGGUGGGGAUGACGUCAAAUCAGCACGGCCCUUACGUCCGGGGCUACACACGUGUUACAAUGGGGGGUACAGAAGGCAGCUAGCGGGUGACCGUAUGCUAAUCCCAAAAUCCUCUCUCAGUUCGGAUCGAAGUCUGCAACCCGACUUCGUGAAGCUGGAUUCGCUAGUAAUCGCGCAUCAGCCACGGCGCGGUGAAUACGUUCCCGGGCCUUGUACACACCGCCCGUCAAGCCAUGGGAGCCGGGGGUACCUGAAGUACGUAACCGCAAGGAUCGUCCUAGGGUAAAACUGGUGACUGGCC
rnacentral:rRNA from 1 species